rnacentral:rRNA from 1 species
GAUGAACGCUAGCGGCAGGCUUAAUACAUGCAAGUCGAGGGGCAGCACAGGUAGCAAUACUGGGUGGCGACCGGCAAACGGGUGCGGAACACGUACACAACUUACCUUCUGGUGGGGGAUAGCCUUUGGAAACGGAGAUUAAUACCCCAUAUUAUAUAUGAGCUGCAUGGUUUGUAUAUUAAAGAUUUAUUGCCGGAAGAUGGGUGUGCGUAUGAUUAGGUAGUUGGCGGGGUAACGGCCCACCAAGCCGACGAUCAUUAACUGGUGUGAGAGCACGACCAGUCACACGGGCACUGAGACACGGGCCCGACUCCUACGGGAGGCAGCGGUAAGGAAUAUUGGUCAAUGGACGGAAGUCUGAACCAGCCAUGCCGCGUGGAGGAUGAAGGUCCUCUGGAUUGUAAACUUCUUUUAUAGGGGGCGAAAAAAGGGAAUUCUUUCUCGUCUGACGGUACCCUAUGAAUAAGCACCGGCUAACUCCGUGCCAGCCGCCGCGGUAAAAC